UGCAAAAAUUAUGAUUAAGCAUUUAGACUAAAGAAAAAAAACAUUAUAAUCUGGUGGCAAUAACUUCAUCACCGCCAACAUGCCAAUCUUAUCAGCAGCACCACCAACAGCAAUGGCGUCGAUAUAGAUGUUUCUAUGUACUUCUUUUUAAUAUGGGGUGAUAUUUAUUUCACACGAAAAAGUAUGGAAUUAUAAUUGUACCUUUUGCAUUUUUUUAUACUAAUACUUAUAAAUAUUUCAAAAAUCAACUUCUUUUAUUGGGGUUUGAACAAAAACCCUAGUUUUUUUUUUCUCAAAACCUAAAAUUUAUUCCAUCCUCUUCGGAUCCUUGCUCAAAUGGAAUGUGCUCGACAAUAAUUUGCGGUUGAGCAAACAAUGGAGCGAAAGGCAGAAGAAUUCGUGGGGAAAGCUGCAGGAAAGAUGAGAAAAGUGGAAGAAGAGGCCUCCGCAUCCGCAUCCGCAUCCGCAUCCGCCGUUGAUAAUCAAAUUUUCUUACAUGCCUUGGUGUCACUGUCAGAUACUGACUAUCGACACCGUUGGUACAGUGCCAAUCUCAACGAAACACCUUCUUUGUCCUCUGUACCGGUAAAGUUUUUGAGUGAGAUGCCUCUAUCUGCUCCCGAGCAGGGCACUUCCGUGAGGGUGGGUUCAUCCAUAUACUAUAUCGGAGGGAUCUUUGAUACGGGGACAGAGAUAUUUAGUUUGAAUCAGAAAUGUGGCUAUAAAUCAGAGGUUUAUCGCCUUGAUACUGAGUCUCUUCCAUGAUUGUCGGACGAGCCUGUCAUGGUGCGGUGUCGGUUAAUGGAAAAGUUUAUGUUUUUGGAGGUCAGUAUUCUAUAACUGAACCCUUUGGUGAAGUUUACGAUCCAUCUUCUGACACUUGGGAUCCCUUACCGGAUCCUCUAAAUGGAUCCAACUCCAUGUGUAACUUCAGCCUGGUAGUCCAUUCUUCUUUGGACAACAACUUGAUAAUUGUACAAGAUCAUUACGGCUUUUGUGCUUUCGACCCCCAGUCUUGGUCCUGGAUAGCCAGUGAGAACCUUGAUGUUUUCACCCCCUGCUGUGUUCAUGGAUAGUACAAUUUAUUUUUACAAGAUACGUCCUGAUGUGGUUAAUUGUGUUUAUGAUGAUGCAUUGCUUUGGGCGAUUCAGUUGGACAAUAUGGGAAGUCCUUCCAAAAGGUCUGUGGUGGACUUUGAGACUAAGUUUCCCGCUUAUGAUUCCUUUUUACUUGCUUUGAGGAAUGGGAAUUUAUGUUUGGUCCGGCGUGGCACUUCAAGCAAUAGGGAUAUAUUGAAUCCAGGUCCCAGUUCUGAGCUGCAACUGCUCAAAGUGCUCCCCAAUGGCACCGAUGGUUCACUGUGCGCUGAAGAAGUUUUUUUGGGCACUAUUACCAUUGAAAAUGGCAUAGAUCUCCUCGAUGUUCUCUAGGAGUUUAUUGAUGCUUUAUGUAUUAGACUGCAAGAAGAGAAACAGACUUCUCAUUUUGAGGAAUUCUACUGCUUGGUGGGCACUCUUUGAAAUCUCAAGCCUUUUUUAUUUAUUUAUUACUCUUGAUAACAGUUGAGUUGUUGUUUUAUUAUUGUCUUUGUUUUGAACUA